rnacentral:rRNA from 1 species
CGCGUAGGCGGCUAGGCAAGUCAGAUGUGAAAGCCCCGGGCUUAACUCGGGAAUUGCAUCUGAAACUGCUGUGCUUGAGUCCUGGAGGGGGUAGUGGAAUUCCCAGUGUAGCGGUGAAAUGCGUAGAUAUUGGGAGGAACACCUGCAGCGAAGGCGGCUACCUGGACAGUGACUGACGCUGAUGCGCGAAAGCUAGGGGAGCAAACGGGAUUAGAUACCCCGGUAGUCCUAGCCGUAAACGAUGGGCACUUGGUGUCGGGGGUAUUGAGUCCCCCGGUGCCGGAGUUAACACGUUAAGUGCCCCGCCUGGGGAGUACGGUCGCAAGACUGAA